rnacentral:lncRNA from 1 species
GGCUCUUCUGUGGUGUGGGUGAAGAAGUCAGAGACCCAUGAGAAAGCUCUUCUGCUUCCUUCCUCCCGUGCUGUGUUCUAAUGGGCACUGUUGCAAUCUUGGCCAAUCCCAGUCAUUUAGUCAUUGAUGUUUAGCAGGGACAUUUGAUUUCAUGACAUCACGUUUAAUUAAAAAUCCAUACGGGCAGUGUAGUGCUGGGAUAUCCGAGAUGGCGGACGGAAGGGAAGUACAGGUGCUGGGAAAUACUUGGUCAUGUUGCUGAGUUGGGAAGCAAAGGGGAGCACCGGGCCGGGUUCCUCGUCACACUGCAUGCCCCACAGCACCCCUGUGAGCACUGGCUGCACGCCGUUGGUGGCCCGCAUGUCUAACGAUGACUCUUCUCUGCUCACAGGUCAACGAGGUAACAGUGGAGCAGCUGGUACAG